GAUGAACGCUGGCGGCGUGCCUAAUACAUGCAAGUCGAGCGAACAGACGAUGAGCUUGCUCCUCUGACGUUAGCGGCGGACGGGUGAGUAACACGUGGAUAACCUCCCUAUAAGACUGGGAUAACUUCGGGAAACCGGAGCUAAUACCGGAUAAUAUAUUGAACCGCAUGGUUCAAUAGUGAAAGACGGUUUUGCUGUCUCUUAUAGAUGGAUCCGCGCCGCAUUAGCUAGUUGGUAAGGUAACGGCUUACCAAGGCAACGAUGCGUAGCCGACCUGAGAGGGUGAUAGGCCACACUGGAACUGAGACACGGUCCAGACUCCUACGGGAGGCAGCAGUAGGGAAUCUUCCGCAAUGGGCGAAAGACUGACGGAGCAACGCCGCGUGAGUGAUGAAGGUCUUCGGAUCGUAAAACUCUGUUAUUAGGGAAGAACAAAUGUGUAAGUAACUAUGCACGUCUUGACGGUACCUAAUCAGAAAGCCACGGCUAACUACGUG
rnacentral:rRNA from 1 species